CAGGAUGAACGCUGGCGGCGUGCUUAACACAUGCAAGUCGAACGAUGAAGCCCAGCUUGCUGGGUGGAUUAGUGGCGAACGGGUGAGUAACACGUGAGUAACCUGCCCUUAACUCUGGGAUAAGCCUGGGAAACURGGUCUAAUACCGGAUAGGAGCGYCYACCGCAUGGUGGGUGUUGGAAAGAUUUAUCGGUUUUGGAUGGACUCGCGGCCUAUCAGCUUGUUGGUGAGGUAAUGGCUCACCAAGGCGACGACGGGUAGCCGGCCUGAGAGGGUGACCGGCCACACUGGGACUGAGACACGGCCCAGACUCCUACGGGAGGCAGCAGUGGGGAAUAUUGCACAAUGGGCGMAAGCCUGAUGCAGCGACGCCGCGUGAGGGAUGACGGCCUUCGGGUUGUAAACCUCUUUCAGUAGGGAAGAAGCGAAAGUGACGGUACCUGCAGAAGAAGCACCGGCUAACUACGUGCCAGCAGCCGCGGUAAUACGUAGGGUGCGAGCGUUAUCCGGAAUUAUUGGGCGUAAAGAGCUCGUAGGCGGUUUGUCGCGUCUGUCGUGAAAGUCCGGGGCUUAACCCCGGAUCUGCGGUGGGUACGGGCAGACUAGAGUGCAGUAGGGGAGACUGGAAUUCCUGGUGUAGCGGUGGAAUGCGCAGAUAUCAGGAGGAACACCGAUGGCGAAGGCAGGUCUCCUGGGC
rnacentral:rRNA from 1 species